rnacentral:rRNA from 1 species
UGCCCUAGUAACGUGCGAGUGAAGCGGCAAAAGCUCAAAUUUGAAAUCUGGCACCUCUGGUGUCCGAGUUGUAAUUUGGAGAGGCAUCUUCCGGAGGGGUCCAGCCUAUGUUCCUUGGAACAGGACAUCACAGAGGGUGAGAAUCCCGUUCAUGGCUGGAUGUACCCUUCAUCAGGUAGUGCCUUCUACGAGUCGAGUUGUUUGGGAAUGCAGCUCAAAAUGGGUGGUAAAUUUCAUCUAAAGCUAAAUAUUGGCGAGAGACCGAUAGCGCACAAGUAGAGUGAUCGAAAGAUGAAAAGCACUUUGAAAAUAGAGUCAAACAGUACGUGAAAUUGUUGAAAGGGAAGCGCUUGAGACCAGACUCAGCCUUGGGCAAACAACUGUCCUUCUGGAUGGUGCACUUGCCCUUGGCUGGGCCAGCAUCAGUUAGGACGGUGGAAUAAAGGCCUGGGGAAUGUGACUCCACUUAGGAGUGUUAUAGCCUCAGGUGCCAUCCCGCCUGGCCUGACUGUGGACCGCGCUUCGGCUAGGAUGCUGGCGUAAUGGUCUUUAGCGGCCCGUCUUGAAACACGGACCAAGGAGUCUAACAUCUAUGCAAGUGUUUGGGCUACAGACCCUCACGCGUAAUAAAAGUGAACGGAGGUGGGAACCCUAUACGGGGUGCACCAUCGACCGAUCCUGAUGUCUUCGGAUGGAUUUGAGUAGGAGCAUAGCUGUUGGGACCCGAAAGAUGGUGAACUAUGCCUGAAUAGGGUGAAGCCAGAGGAAACUCUGGUGGAGGCUCGCAGCGGUUCUGACGUGCAAAUCGAUCGUCAAAUUUGGGUAUAGGGGCGAAAGACUAAUCGAACCAUCUAGUAGCUGGUUCCUGCCGAG